rnacentral:rRNA from 1 species
UACAGAGGCCCCAAGCGUUACUGAGAAUCACUGGGUUUAAAGGGUGCGUAGGUGGCGCGUUAAGUCCGUUGUGAAAGCCCUGGGCUCAACCCAGGAACUGCUUCGGAUACUGGCGCGCUUGAGGCUAGUAGAGGUCACUGGAACUGACGGUGGAGCGGUGAAAUGCGUAGAUAUCGUCAGGAACGCCAAUGGUGAAGACAGGUGACUGGGCUAGUUCUGACACUGAGGCACGAAAGCGUGGGGAGCGAACGGG